CUAGAGCCUGUGCUCUGCAACAAGAGAAGCCACCACAAAGAGAAGCCCACACACAGCAAGAAAGAACAGUCCCAGCUCGCUGCAACUAGAGAGAGCCCUCUCGCAGCUACAAAGAUGGACCACAGCCAAAAAAAGCAUGUGGAACCCUAGGAUGGAACUCACACUCCCCACAUUGGAAGGCGAAGUCCCAACUACUGGACUGCCAGGAAAGUCCCUACAUUUAAUUCUUAGAAUAACACUUGAGGUUGCUGUUGUCUUCAAUUACAUUAAAAGUCUGUGUACAAAUA